CUGCCCGCCUGUGAGCUGUGCUUCGCACUGAUGGGCUCUUGGAUGCUCCAAAGGAAAAUAGCAGCGAAACCUGCUGCUUUUCACUUUCAAAUGACAGACCCGUAGGAAGCCUGGGGGCAAUGCCACAGAGGAUGUAAAAGCUCUCAGGUCCACCCUGAGCUUUGGAAUGAGAAGAGAAUGGUGAUGUCCUUUUGCUGCUGCCUGUCACUCUUCCACAGCAACUGAGCCAGGCUAGCGAGCCUGUCUUGUGACUUGGCACUACACAGAGCCGCUCGCUAAACACCUAAAGGCCCACGCUUUAUGCUUCUUGUGAGGGAGAAACACAAUUGUGUUCAGCCCUUACUGAGAAGCCGGAGCAAAAAUUGAAUGUGUGUGACUGUUUUCCAGAGCCUGACAUACCAAGGAUACUUAGAGCACAGUCACUGAGUGAGCGGAUGCCUGGAUCCAGCCACCUAAAGAGGUUCUUCCAGAUGCUUCCAGCCCUCAGCAGAUUGCCAUCAGCAGUCCACACCCGGCUGGUUUGCACCUCCCUCUGCUGGACUUUGAGCUGCGCGCCAAAAGAAAGAUGCACCUGAUGGAGGUGCUUUCUUUAACCGACAUACAGUUGAAGGAAAGACGGUCUCCUGAUGGAUGUCUGCAAUGAUUAAGAGGGAAUGCUUCUGGUACCCUUUCCCUCGGAUGCCCGUGAAGGGCUCGGGCAUCACCAGCCACUGUCCCAGCCCGGGCUCUAAGUCUGACCCAAGCCGAAGUGCCUGCGCCCCGCUAUGCGCUCCAUCACCAC
rnacentral:lncRNA from 1 species